GACGAACGCUGGCGGCGUGCUUAACACAUGCAAGUCGAACGGAAAGGCCAGUGCUUGCACUGGUACUCGAGUGGCGAACGGGUGAGUAACACGUUGGUGAUCUGCCUUGCACUCUGGGAUAAGCUUGGGAAACUGGGUCUAAUACCGGAUAUGAACUGCCUUUAGUGUGGUGGUUGGAAAGUUUUUUCGGUGCAAGAUGAGCUCGCGGCCUAUCAGCUUGUUGGUGGGGUAAUGGCCUACCAAGGCGUCGACGGGUAGCCGGCCUGAGAGGGUGUACGGCCACAUUGGGACUGAGAUACGGCCCAGACUCCUACGGGAGGCAGCAGUGGGGAAUAUUGCACAAUGGGCGGAAGCCUGAUGCAGCGACGCCGCGUGGGGGAUGACGGCCUUCGGGUUGUAAACUCCUUUCGACAGGGACGAAGCGUAAGUGACGGUACCUGUAUAAGAAGCACCGGCUAACUACGUG
rnacentral:rRNA from 1 species